AAGAAGCUCAAGGAUAAAUGAUAAAGAAGCAGGGUGGUCUAAGGUGUGGGGAGCGUGGGGAUAGGUGAUUGGGAAAAGGUGUGGUCAUCCUCGUUCUGCACAGGUGUAACCAAGCUCCAGGUGUCCGCACGUUCAAAGUUGAGGCUUAGCAUGAUCUGAGGACAGAGCUUUUGUUGCUCUGAGGUGAAAAGGUCACUGGGCAUUCGGGCAUGCCCAGUUAGAGGGACGGAUGUCCUGGCCAGUCUUAACUAGCUCGAAGCUCUAAGUAGAUGCAACUGACUUCCAAGUUUCAAGAGAUCAAUGCAGGCAAACAUCUUACUGUUUAGGUUCUGUGCGGCUUGGAGCACCUGCAAGUCUUUCAUAGCAACAGUUAUGACGCGAUUACCCAGGGUUCCACUGGUGGGGCGGGGCCUCGGGGGUCCCGGCGUGGAGACCGGGCGGCUGCACUGCCCGGCCUCCGUUCUGGCUGGGGUGGUACCCAUCGCUCUAGCCCACGUUACUGGACAGAAAGUUAGAAUAAUUCUUGUGAAGUCAGGGGUCCUGGUGUGACUUAAACAAAGAGAAACAAGCAGCUGUUGGUACCAGCUCUGGAGAUAACCUAGGCAGGAGCCUCAGGAAGGGACUGCACGUCUCCUGAACCGAGGUGCUCCUGUGGACCACGACACUCCUCCCAAGCUCGUCCCCUUUGUCUCCUCACACUUCCCUUCAAACGGCUUCGUGUGGGGAGGGAGGCGGUCACGGUCAGAAGAAUGGAGCUACUUCCCCAAAUCUGGAACGGGAUCAAGAGCCCAGGACCCCGUUUAUCCUCCUGUUGGUUGAAAAAGCCGAUUUGAGCAGUAUCCAGGAAUCAGCUGACCCUCUGGUGGCCACCACCGGCCGCUUCCUUGUUCCGUGUCUGCAUCUCCAGCCACCUAAGGACCGGCCUCAGCAGCUUCGUGUGAAGUUCCAGCUCACUGCCUCCUCUCUGUCCAAGCUCAUGGAGUCUCAGAGCCCGUGUCCGUGUAAGCACUGCCCAAGGUUCCGGGGCCCAUCCAGUCUCGGCAGAGAAGAUGAAAAGCGUUCUCAGUCAGCUGCUGGCUUCUCAGCCUCGAAUCUGCUGCCCCUUGGGAGACGGGCUCUUUACCGCUAGCACCACCUGGGAAGCCCUCUGGGAUGUACCGUCUGCAUGUCUUUCCCAGCACACACAAGUGAAGCCACCCUCCCCUCCAGCCAUUGCGUGUAAGCAAGACCACAAGCCAGGAGGCAGGGCUGCAAAGCCUGCCCUCCGAAACCAAAGUCCAUCGUUGCUGUCUCCAGUACUGAGAAGCAGGAUCUUCUCUUUUCUUGUAUUUCAUGACAAAAUCCCUUUUGUACUCCCCUUUGUACUCAGUGUUCUGGGUAAUGGUGUGUCAGAGAUGACAAGUUUAGAAAAGGAGAGGGGAGAGGCAGGCAGAAAGGGGAAACAGGAGAGUGUUGGUGCCAGCAAGAGCUGAGUUCAAAUCCUGCCUCCAUCACUGACUAUCGUGUAACCUCGGGCCCUUUGAUUCCAGUAAGAACACCUAACUUCAUAGGACUGUUGUGAGGAUAAAAUGUGCCAAAAUGCUAGAAGAAUGGAAAGUGCAAUAUAACACAUGCAGCGUGCCUAGUCUGGUCUCGGCAGCCAGCUGGUAUUAGACAGUGGUAAUCAGAAGAAAUCCAUUUUUAUGAUUCAAAUCUAAGACGAUGAUAAAUAGCUUGAAACCAAAUGGAUGUUCCCUGUCGUCAAAUCCAAGGUUGGUUUCUGCCUGUUGCUCCCGCCCUCCUGCCUCUCACUGUAUCCCAGACACUGAAGACCCUCUGUCUGGGUUCUCAUCCACCAGCUCUCCUCUGUGCUCCCUUGGUAUGAGCACUCCCCCCAAAGACCUGUUCCGAAUCCUCUUUCAGACUUUGCUGUCCCUCUCCUGGUGAGCCGCUCCCUCCUGGGGCUCUAAAGAUGCCUAUAGUUUAAAGACUACACAUGACAUCAUUUCCACACCUGCCAGUCUGCCCAUGGAAACAUCAGGCCACCACCUCACAGUCCACAUAUUCAAAGUCAAAAGGGCCAUCUUUUCUGCCCCGCAUUCUGAGUCUCUCAUUUCAGUCAGUGGCACUUCAACCUGUCAGCCAUUCAUUCAUCAUCAAGUCCUUCCUCCAAUUAGAUCUAUUUCUACGAUGCAUCUGACUUCUUUAGGUCUCAUUUCCAUAGCCUCGUUCUUUUCUCUUUCUUUCUUUUUUUUUUUGGCAUAUGGGAUCUUAGUUCCCUGUGCCCCCUGCAGUGGAAGUGCAGAGUCUUAACCACUGGACCGCCAGGGAAGUCCCUGACCUUCUCUUAACAAGCGUCCAGAAGCCUGGCUCUUCAGUGCUAGAAAAAAACCCAGGAUCCUGCCUAAUCUGGCCCCAGCCUACCUGACACAUUCAUCUCCCCAUACCUCCCUGUGUUAGAUUCAUAUCAGAUGACCUGCCAUCCUUUAGCUAGAAACAGUCCCUGCCUUCCCCCCGGCUGAUUCCUGAACUGGGAUUGAAGUCAGUAUUGGUCUGAAGGCAAAUUUUACCAAGUGGCCUGUGUUAGCUUUGGAAGAAGAGUAGGGAAAUAAAACCGCUGUCAAGCACUGUCACUCAGUAAUUGUCUGCUCAGGGAAGGCAAGCAGCUGGCGAUGAGGCUAGCUCUUCACUGCACUCGUCACCUCCACCCCCCAUGAUGAGUCCUGUUCACUGCCCCCUAAUACCGCCUGCUAUGUGGGACCCCCUUCUAUGUGCUCUCUUCACGUCGCCUUCCUCCCCUG